GCGGCGAUAGCUCAGUGGAUAAAGCGCCAGGUGAGUAGAUGGCGAUUACUCCAUAUAGAGAGCUAUUAUCCACGCGGGUUCGAAUCCCGCCUGUGGCA